UGGCAUCAUGGGUUUCUGAUCCCAACUCAAUGAUUUGCUGCAGAAUGUUUACAGCUGUUGGAUCAAGUCUUUCACCUUAUCAGAAAGACAUACACCUUGAACUGGAGUAACCAGAAACAGGAGUUUGUGUGCUAUUUCUGAACUCCGGGUACUACCAGUAACUGACUGUCCAGACACAGGAUUAACUUUAAUUUCUGCAGCUCUGGAAUUCACUUUUGAGAGUGUCCUGAGGUCCAGAUUCAAGUACUUGCUAAUCACCAGGGUCUUGUAAGUCAAGCACCAUGCAGCUUGGAAAUAGGAUUGAUUAAACUAUUAUUAGAUUGUGUUACUACUGACAAGUUUGAUAUGCACGCAAGCAACUAUCCCAGAGAGAGAAGACUUUCUUCAACAUUUCACUCCAGCUUUCCAGAGAUGUCAAGGAUCACAAGACUUCAGUCACUGCUAUGAUCAUCAGAAUGUGAAAAAACAAACUUCUGGAAUAAAUGCAUCUGCAAGACUUCUAAGGUCAGCUGUUCCAAGUACAGCCAAUUUAUGAGGUUUAAUUUCAAAUCUAAAGUUAAAUCAAGUUGUUUGGAAUCCCAUUCAAUCUUGUUAUGUUAUGUUAUGUUUAAAGUACUCAAACAAG